GAGGCCAGACAACUGACCGCCUCUCCCGCAGUGACAACUGCCACCCAGCCUCUGGCUUAUCGGACACCCAAGGACAGCCAGAGACAUCCAAAGAGCUGAGAGAGGCUACAACUGAGAAGGAUCCCCUCCGUCUUGCUGACUGACUUCUUGGCUAAGACAUUGCAUUGAGCAAACAGGGGUCAUUUGGGAGAUGCCAUCUGGAAGCUCAGUGACUAAGCCAACCUGGCCUGGCUUGGUGUUGACAUGCUCACCUAUGAGAAGAGUGAUUUACGUAAGGGAGGAAAGUAAGACUUCAGGGAUCCAGUCUCACUGCAUCUUCACAACGAUCUUUCAUUGGGGAUUCAAUGACAACCAAGGAAUACAGAGAAGAAAAUACAGCCUCUGACCUUACAGAACUUUCUACUAAAGUGGGUAAAUGGAUUUAGGGAAAUCACUUCCUCACUGCACCUGUGCUUUCUCAUCUGGAAAAGAAGAGUUGGUUUGGAGGAGAUCUACAGGUUCCUUCUAGUUCUGAAAGCCUAAAUUCAUACCAGCAGACUAUAUCCUGACAAGAGGAAGACUGAAAGUCAAGGUCAUGGACUUACGUACCUUAGGAACUGAGUUAAAUGUUAGCUCUGUUUGAAGUAGAGGGUGGUGGGUAAUUAGUGUCUGAUCUAUAAAUGUGAAGUACAAGUUUUUACCCAUUAUAAACCACAAGUUGGUCAAGGAAGCCAUAACCAUCUACAAAUGAACAAUCAAAAUCCCUGAGCUAUGAACUUAUUCUGUAUACUCUUUUUGGACUCCAAUUAAGGAGAGGAAAAAAUCAUAUCCUCCAGGAGAGGGAGCCAGAUUUAAACGUUGACAAGACCAAACUA